rnacentral:rRNA from 1 species
AUGGAAGAUGAACCUCCAAUCUUUGCUGAAGAGGAGGCUGGUCCUAGUAAGAAAAAGAAGAAACAGAAACGCAAGACAAUAAAGCAGACUCAAUGCAAGGCAAAAAUGUUGGUGAAGCUAAUGGAUGGGCGAUGGGAGGUGACGCACUUUGUUCGUGACCACAAUCAUCCGCUGGUGAAUAGUACUUCGUUGUCCAAAUACUUGAGAUCCCACCAAGGCAUCUCUCCUGAUGAAAAGGAGUUUUUGCGCAUCUUGUAUAACUGCAACUUGACUACAAGUGAUUACCAUCCAAGUGCCAUGAUGGGCCGUGCUACUACAGCACCCACGCACACUGCUCCUACUGCCUCGUCGGAGGCUGCAUCCCCUGCACAAGCCUCUGAUGAUUUUGUGCCCAGGUAUCAUCCAAGGUCUACUAUAAAGGGUAGGGCGAGUCGACGGUACAAAUCGGCGCUGGAGCUACACCCAAAGAAGAAAAACAAAUGCAGCCAGUGCCAAUCUACGGACCGCACUGCCGGUGUGUGUCCACUCAGGCUGCUGUGA